UGCAAGUCGAACGGCAGCACGGGGGCAACCCUGGUGGCGAGUGGCGAACGGGUGAGUAAGACAUCGGAACGUGUCCUGGAGUGGGGGAUAGCCCGGCGAAAGCCGGAUUAAUACCGCAUACGCUCGGGAGAGGAAAGCGGGGGACCUUCGGGCCUCGCGCUCAAGGGGCGGCCGAUGGCAGAUUAGGUAGUUGGUGAGGUAAAGGCUCACCAAGCCGACGAUCUGUAGCUGGUCUGAGAGGACGACCAGCCACACUGGGACUGAGACACGGCCCAGACUCCUACGGGAGGCAGCAGUGGGGAAUUUUGGACAAUGGGGGCAACCCUGAUCCAGCAAUGCCGCGUGUGUGAAGAAGGCCUUCGGGUUGUAAAGCACUUUUGUCCGGAAAGAAAACCUUCGCCCGAAUACGGUGGGGGGAUGACGGUACCGGAAGAAUAAGCACCGGCUAACUACGUGCCAGCAGCCGCGGUAAUACGUAGGGUGCGAGCGUUAAUCGGAAUUACUGGGCGUAAAGCGUGCGCAGGCGGUCCGCUAAGACCGAUGUGAAAUCCCCGGGCUUAACCUGGGAACUGCAUUGGUGACUGGCGGGCUGGAGUAUGGCAGAGGGGGGUAGAAUUCCACGUGUAGCAGUGAAAUGCGUAGAGAUGUGGAGGAAUACCGAUGGCGAAGGCAGCCCCCUGGGCCAAUACUGACGCUCAUGCACGAAAGCGUGGGGAGCAAACAGGAUUAGAUACCCUGGUAGUCCACGCCCUAAACGAUGUCAACUGGGUUGUCGGGCCUUCAUUGGCUUGGUAACGUAGCUAACGCGUGAAGUUGACCGCCUGGGGAGUACGGUCGCAAGAUUAAACUCAAAGGAAUUGACGGGGACC
rnacentral:rRNA from 1 species